rnacentral:rRNA from 1 species
UACGGAGGAUCCAAGCGUUUGUCCGGAUUUAUUGGGUUUAAAGGGUGCGUAGGCGGGUUAUUAAGUCAGUGGUGAAAUCUUGCAGCUUAACUGUAAAAUUGCCAUUGAUACUGAUGAUCUUGAGUACGUUUGAAGUGGGCGGAAUAUGUCAUGGUAGAGGUGAAAUUCUUAGAGAUGACAUAGAACACCGAUUGCGAAGGCAGCUCACUAAACUGUAACUGACGCUGAGGCACGAAAAGCGUGG